AUCGAACGCUGGCGGCAGGCCUAACACAUGCAAGUCGAGCGGAGCGGCGGACGGGUAGGUAAUGCCUAGGAAUCUGCCCGGUAGUGGGGGACAACGUCCGGAGACGGGCGCUAAUACCACAUACUAUCAGAUGAGCCUAGGGGGGAUUAGCUAGUUGGUGGGGCAAAGGCUUACCAAGGCGACGAGCCGUAACUGGGCUGAGAGGAUGAUCAGUCACACUGGAACGGAGACACGGUCCAGACUCCUACGGGAGGCAGCAGUGGGGAAUAUUGGACAAUGGGCGAAAGCCUGAUCCAGCAAUGCCGCGUGUGUGAAGAAGGUCUUCGGAUUGUAAAGCACUUUAAGUUGGGAGGCGUUACCAACAGAAUAAGCACCGGCUAACUUCGUGCCAGCAGCCGCGGUAAUUC
rnacentral:rRNA from 1 species